rnacentral:rRNA from 1 species
AUUGAACGCUGGCGGCAGGCUUAACACAUGCAAGUCGAACGACUGGCGGACGGGUGAGUAAUGCUUGGGAAUCUAGCUUAUGGAGGGGGAUAACUACGGGAAACUGUAGCUAAUACCGCGUACCAUAGGAUGAGCCCAAGUGGGAUUAGGUAGGUGGUGUGGUAUAGGCUAACCAAGCCGACGCUCCCUAGCUGGUCUGAGAGGAUGACCAGCCACACGGGGACUGGGAAACGGCCCAGACUCCUACGGGAGGCAGCAGUGGGGAAUAUUGCGCAAUGGGGGCAACCUGACGCAGCCAGGCCGCGUGAAUGAAGAAGGCCUUCGGGUUGUAAAGUUCUUUCGGUAGCGAGGCGUUAACUACAGAAGAAGCACCGGCUAACUCCGUGCCAGCCGCCGCGGUAAUAC